rnacentral:pre_miRNA from 1 species
AGCUGGUUGAUUUCGGGUCAAAUUGUCAUUAACUAUCAUUUGGUCCCCUUCAACCAGCUGU